AUAUUCCUUCCCCCUAAGGUUCAAGGCAGAAGGCUAGACCAAAAACCUGGAAGAGGCAGAAGAUAGUAGAUGAGUACAAUGAGGCCACAGGCCAGGAACACACUGCACUCAUAGAAAUUAUGUAGACCUUCCCAAGUCCCAUGCCUGCUCAGUCAGUCCUUAGCCAACCAUCUAGUGGGGGAAGUAGAAAAGGAUUUCCACACAGGAGCUAUUGAUGACUGGGGGCUCCUGUGAAAGGGAGAGUUAGACUAUAUUUUAAAGAGCAUCACCCCUGACAUGUCAACAGUAUUCCUAGGAAAGACUAGAUUUUAAAGAAUACAUGGGUACCCCAAAUAGAGCUUAAAAGGAAAAAAAACACCCACAGCCAAAAGGUGGAUGGAGCUUGCAGGUUCUUAUGGAAGAAUAGGAGGAAGGAUUCCAGGGAAUAGGAACUCCACAGGAAGACCAACAGAGUCACUUAACCUGAACUACCAACCAAAGAGCAUACGUGGGCUGGACCUAGGCCUCUCUGCACAUAUGCAGUAGAUGUAAAACUUUGUCUUCAUGUGGGUCCUGAACAGAUGGAACGAGGGCUAUUCCAAAAGCUGUUGCCUGUAUGUGGGAUAUGUUCUUCUAGCUGAGCUGCUUUGUCUGGCCUCAAUGGGAGAAGAAGCAUCCAGCAUCAGAGAGAUUUGGGGUGCCAGAGUGAGGGGAUGUCCAGGAGGGCCCACCCUCUUGGAGGAGGCAGGGAAGGAGAAUGGCAGAGGGAUUGUGGAAGGGGAUUACCUGGAGGGGAGAAGUAAGUGGGAUAUAGAGUGAAUAAGUAAAAAUAAUAAAUUAAAUUUUAAAAAAUGCAAAAAAAAUAC
rnacentral:lncRNA from 1 species